GGGCCCGUAGUAUACCGGUAGAACGGCUCAAUGGCAUUGAGCAGGAAGGGGUUCAAUUCCCCUCGGGUCCACCA
rnacentral:tRNA from 1 species